rnacentral:rRNA from 1 species
UACGUAGGGUGCAAGCGUUGUCCGGAAUUAUUGGGCGUAAAGAGCGUGUAGGCGGCUCGCUAAGUCUUGCGUGAAAUCUCGGGGCUCAACCCCGAGCGGUCGUGAGAAACUGGCGGGCUAGAGUGCGGGAGAGGAGAGUGGAAUUCCUGGUGUAGCGGUGAAAUGCGCAGAUAUCAGGAAGAACACCCGUGGCGAAGGCGGCUCUCUGGAACGCAACUGACGCUGAGACGCGAAAGCGUGGGGAGCAAACAGG